AGAGUUUGAUCAUGGCUCAGAUUGAACGCUGGCGGCAGGCCUAACACAUGCAAGUCGAACGGUAACAGGAAUCAGCUUGCUGAUUCGCUGACGAGUGGCGGACGGGUGAGUAAUGUCUGGGAAACUGCCUGAUGGAGGGGGAUAACUACUGGAAACGGUAGCUAAUACCGCAUAAUGUCGCAAGACCAAAAAGGGGGACCUUCGGGCCUCUUGCCAUCGGAUGUGCCCAGAUGGGAUUAGCUUGUUGGUGGGGUAACGGCUCACCAAGGCGACGAUCCCUAGCUGGUCUGAGAGGAUGACCAGCCACACUGGAACUGAGACACGGUCCAGACUCCUACGGGAGGCAGCAGUGGGGAAUAUUGCACAAUGGGCGCAAGCCUGAUGCAGCCAUGCCGCGUGUAUGAAGAAGGCCUUCGGGUUGUAAAGUACUUUCAGCGGGGAGGAAGGGAGUAAAGUUAAUACCUUUGCUCAUUGACGUUACCCGCAGAAGAAGCACCGGCUAACUCCGUGCCAGCAGCCGCGGUAAUACGGAGGGUGCAAGCGUUAAUCGGAAUUACUGGGCGUAAAGCGCACGCAGGCGGUUUGUUAAGUCAGAUGUGAAAUCCCCGGGCUCAACCUGGGAACUGCAUCUGAUACUGGCAAGCUUGAGUCUCGUAGAGGGGGUAGAAUUCCAGGUGUAGCGGUGAAAUGCGUAGAGAUCUGGAGGAAUACCGGUGGCGAAGGCGGCCCCUGGACGAAGACUGACGCUCAGGUGCGAAAGCGUGGGGAGCAAACAGGAUUAGAUACCCUGGUAGUCCACGCCGUAAACGAUGUCGACUUGGAGGUUGUGCCCUUGAGGCGUGGCUUCCGGAGCUAACGCGUUAAGUCGACCGCCUGGGGAGUACGGCCGCAAGGUUAAAACUCAAAUGAAUUGACGGGGGCCCGCAGCGGUGGAGCAUGUGGUUUAAUUCGAUGCAACGCGAAGAACCUUACCUGGUCUUGACAUCCACGGAAGUUUUCAGAGAUGAGAAUGUGCCUUCGGGAACCGUGAGACAGGUGCUGCAUGGCUGUCGUCAGCUCGUGUUGUGAAAUGUUGGGUUAAGUCCCGCAACGAGCGCAACCCUUAUCCUUUGUUGCCAGCGGUCCGGCCGGGAACUCAAAGGAGACUGCCAGUGAUAAACUGGAGGAAGGUGGGGACGACGUCAAGUCAUCAUGGCCCUUACGACAGGGCUACACACGUGCUACAAUGGCGCAUACAAAGAGAAGCGACCUGCGGUGUGACACAAGGCCGGGAACGUAUUCACCGUGGCAUUCUGAUCCACGAUUACUAGCGAUUCCGACUUCAUGGAGUCGAGUUGCAGACUCCAAUCCGGACUACGACGCACUUUAUGAGGUCCGCUUGCUCUCGCGAGGUCGCUUCUCUUUGUAUGCGCCAUUGUAGCACGU
rnacentral:rRNA from 1 species